rnacentral:lncRNA from 1 species
AUUAUACAUAGUUUUCUUGGUUUUAUAACUUUAUUUUUGUGUCCAGUUAUUGCAAUUUAUUUCAAUUUGUUUUGCUAACUUCAGUAGCAAGUAGCAGUAGGUAGAUAGCUACCAGCUCGAGCAGCUACUGUAUCUACCAGCCGUUUUCACCGCCAAUCCUACUGAAAAUGUUGUUGACUUUUUGUUGAAGAACCCCUUUAAUUCUCUGGGUUACUCGGAAAAGGUGCAAAUUAAAACCGAGGGUAGACCUCUGCCUGAGAUCAGUUUUAUGAAGAAGGAUGAAAAGCUAAAUCCCCUCCUGUUCCCCAAGAGAUGAUAACCACUCCACUCCACUACCAUUGUCAACUCUCUCCUGAUAUCAAGUUUCAGUCAAAUCCUGUCCUGCACUGAAGUCAAGCCUCUGAACACCUCAUUUCAUGCCUCAUACCAUCAUUCAAUCACUGUUUUGAUCCCUUUUCAACACUGUGUAAGUAGCCCUCUCAUUCCCAUUCCACAUAAAUGGUCUUUAUUAAAUGCUUUAGGUUUUUGAAACACACUGUCGUCUCUGUGCGUUCUACACCCAUACCGUAGGUCUCCCAUCCUCCUCAAUUUUCCAAGUCACCAGCUUCCACUGUAUACCAAGUACAAAUACAGUAAAGUACUGUACACACUUUUUCUCUUAGCUAAAUAGUGUUUGUAGACAACUGCUAACUUCAAAGAGUGGGGAAUUCAGGGAGUUGGUCUGAUGGGAAUCCUUGAUGCUAUUGGCCUUCCCCUUGCUUGAGGAACAAUAGAGGAUAGCCCCCCCUCCCCACACUUACCUGGACACUUACUUACCUGUACCACGUAUUGAGAUAUGCUUUUUGUUAUGUAAAUCAGGUGAAAAUGAUACUGGAGUGCUACUUUAAAAUGGUUAUUGUUCAGCAUAUUUACUUUGGGCAGGAUUACGACCCGAGGUAAGAGUGCACAUAAGUGGAACAUAAUUUCCUUUUUAUGGGUAUUCUGAUCUUGAACUAACUUAAGCAUUUGAAUAGCGUGCUAUUCACCUGCUAUUCGUUUUGGGUGGAGAUCAAAUAAAUGAAGGUGUACGGAGGUGUGUCUACAAAUUUACAGAGACACUGUAUUCUGACCUUGACCUAAUCCCCAAAUAAUUCCACCACCUUUACGCAAAGAAAAUCAAUGACUUAAGGUCUAGCGAACCUACUGGUUCCAAGUGGAAAAAGCAUCUACUUUAUUUAAAAAAAUUAAAAAUAACACCACUCUCCAUGUACUGUAAUUUAUAACUUGAUAAGAGCUAUU